UCCGGUUUGUCACCGGCAGUCACCUUAGAGUGCCCAACCUAAUGCUGGCAACUAAGAUCAAGGGUUGCGCUCGUUGCGGGACUUAACCCAACAUCUCACGACACGAGCUGACGACAACCAUGCACCACCUGUCACUCUGUCCCCCGAAGGGGAACGUCCUAUCUCUAGGAUUGUCAGGAGAUGUCAAGACCUGGUAAGGUGGGGAUGACGUCCCGCAACUAACCA
rnacentral:misc_RNA from 1 species